AUUUGUUCUUUUGUGUUUAUUUUGUGUUACGGUGAAGAUGUUCUCCCAAAAUGUGUUUGUCCUUCUUUUUUGAUGUGGGUUCACAAUAUGGCCCAUAUUUGUAACAGUCUUGAAUUUGUUUGUACUGCCACCGUCAGUGUGAUCUGUAUGGCUGUUGAUCAACUAAGUCUUUCAGCCAGUUUAAUAAAUCAAACGAAACUUCGCACCUUUAGACACCCAGGUAGCUCGCUACAUUGUCUUUCAAAUGAGCUGCAAUGACGAAAGGUUGUUGAGAAAGAUUGGACAAUGUAGCCACGGUACCUUCUUCCAAUGCUUAUUCAAUUGAUAUCGGGACAAUCCUACGCGAGGCUCACAGGAAGUCUCACGUGAAAAUUUGCAAUUAUCUUGCCAGCUAGGGAUAGCCAUUCAAAGAAGGCUAAUCCACUUGUCACUUACUUUCUGCAUCCAGUGACUCCCCGGUAAAUAGAAUUUUGAGACCCCUGAUCCGGAACUGCCAGCAUUGUCACUUCAUUAAAGUAGGUUGAUCGUAAUAAAUUGGAAAAACUCUGUAGAAAAAAGGUAUUGUUCUGCAGAACUGUUUGCAUCGUCACUUUAUUAAAGGUGGUUGGUCUUAACAAUUUAGUAAAAAUCUGUAAAAUUACGAUAUUUUUCCGCAAAACGUUUAAUGAAAAUUUCUGUAAAUAUAAUGUUUUUGAUCAAUAUUUGGUUUACAAUGUUUUACUUUAAUUUUAUGGUUUUCGUUUGGCAGCCAUAACUCCCAGUAGAUUACCGUUUUUUUACAGAUUUUUUUUUUACAGUGUAGAGAGCCCCUUUAGUGCGUCGGUAUCCAAUCCAUUCCACUUGUUUACGUCACUUCCUGUUUGGAGUCUGCGCGCGUCUGACUGUCUAGUUUAACAAUCCCUUUGUGUAAAACCAGCAAAUCUUCUUUGCUUUUUUGUACUUUUUUUCUACUUUUUUGGCUUUACUGUGUCACUGUGCCGUUUCACUCUGUUGGCUUUACUGUGUCACUGUGCCGUUUCACUCUGCUGUCUGUGUCUAUCGGUGCUGCGGGCUAGCACACCGAAGCCGGCUAGCAUUAGCAGCCUGACAUAGACAGGUGUGGAUCCUUCUGUUGCUGGAUGCCUUGGCAUAUAGACCAUCAGAAUGCCUCCACCAAGGAAAAGAUUCAACAAACCUGAGUAACGAACUGUAAGAUCUUCAUCAAACUAAAUGGGACCCCCGGAGGAAGCAAAAGUCUUGGUGAUGAGAAAAAUAGAAGAUUUUGAUAAGUAUUAACAUUGAUGCAGUACUUGGUAUCAAUGUAGCUUUGUGACUUUUACAUCAUCUCAAUGCGACCCACACCAAGAACACAGACCACACCAAGUAUUGAUAUGGACAUGUUACACAAAAUCCUACAACAUCAACAAAAAGAACUGGAAAUGUCCGCAGCCACCAGUCUCCAGACUAUCCUCCGAGCUAGCACCUGUCCCCAGACUAUCCUCCGAGCUAGCACCUGUCUCCAGGCUAGCCUACGAGCUAGCACCUGUCUCCAGGGCAAGCUCAAUAAAGGACCAGUGGACCCAAGGAUCGGCGUGGGAACUUAGUUCUCUAAUCGGAUACCUGUUUCCCUUCCCUUGCCCUGGAUUUGGACUGCCUCCCUCGUUUCCCGACUCCUCGCUCGCCCCCGGACUCUGACGUCUCUCUCUGCCCCACGGACCCCUCGCGGAAUUUGGACUCCUUUUAUAUAUAUAUAUAUAUAUAUAUAUAUAUAUAUAUAUAUAUAUAUAUAUAUAUAUGGAAAAAAUCACAAGACUACUUCAUCUCUACAGAACUGUUUCAUGAGGGGUUCCCUCAAUCUUCAGGAGAUUUUAAUGGAAGAAUUUACAUACAAUGGUUUGUACACAGCAAAAAUUGGAGUGUUGAAAUUUCAGGGUUAAACAUUCCCGUGUUAAUUUCAACUCCCAAAGUGUGAAUUUAACACAGUCUGAUUUAAAUAGUGUUUAGUGCUUGAGUUAUUUGACAGAGUUGAUCACUCAUGAGUUAGUUUAACUCUGCUGAGAUGCAAUUAAGCCCCGCCCUGCAUUUCACUUCUUCAGUUGGAGGGAAAAGAGACAAUAGGAACCAUUUCGCUUCUCUCGUGCAGUUCCACCAGGUAAGUGCAAUUUAAUCAAAUUUUCUGAAACAGCUGCAAAUUAAUGCUGUGAAAUGUAGCAUGUACAAUAAAACAUGUAUGGAGGAUAUGUGUUUUAGCAACUAAGCUUUUUUUGUCACCAGUUCUGAACAGCAAAAUCGGUCAUGCUAUUAGCUUGCAUUUCUAUGCUAGCAGACAGUAGUAGCAAGUCACUUAAACUUUUAAAAAUGACAGUAAGUCACUUCCUCAAAGCCGUGAUAAACAAAGUUUUUACUGUACAAAAUAUUAUUUAAGGCUGGAACUAACAGUUGUGGGGGCUUUUGUUAUUUUGUCCCUCACACUCUAAACUUCAAAAACCUGUGGAGACAUGUUUCUCUUGUCCAAUUUUGUCUGCGUAGGGAUAAGCUCAGUAGUUACUGGUUCAUUUAUUGCUACUCUUAAAGUUUUGGUGUUAUUUAUUAUCAGGGUAUUCACUGGGUCAUGGACAUAUUGUAUUAAAUAUUAAAUGAGAUUUAAUUUAAUUUAGAAUUUAAUUCAUACCAGGGCCUUUACAAGCAUCUGAAUCUGUCUUGACCUAGGAAUAUAUAAAUGUAAGAACUGAUUGUUAGUUUAUUUCUUGAUUUGGUACAAAUUAAUAUAGCUGCAGCCUCUCCUCUGUUCUCAGGGGUACAGAAACACACGCACGUCAGUGAGCAGCAGAGCAGAGGUUACGGUGGAUCCCGUGAAAUGACAGUAACUGUAACAUCAGUUUGACGACAUCUAA